AUUUCUGGUGUACCUCUGUAUCCUUAAGUUAUAAGGAGACAGGAAUUGAAGUCUGGUGAAUGAACCAUGACCCUGUGAUCAGAGCGUGAUUGACGGUAGUGGUGGUCUUCUUUGCGGACUAGGCUCAUCACCAACUGUAGAGGAUCGUUCCCGUUCUUACGAAUUGGGGUUGGUUUUGAUUGCGCGUUUUGGGAUCUGAGG
rnacentral:snoRNA from 1 species